rnacentral:rRNA from 1 species
UACGUAGGGUGCUAGCGUUAAUCGGAAUUACUGGGCGUAAAGCGUGCGUAGGCGGUCAUGUAAGACAGAUGUGAAAUCCCCGGGCUCAACCUGGGAACUGCAUUUGUGACUGCAUCGCUGGAGUGCGGCAGAGGGGGAUGGAAUUCCGCGUGUAGCAGUGAAAUGCGUAGAUAUGCGGAGGAACACCGAUGGCGAAGGCAAUCCCCUGGGCCUGCACUGACGCUCAUGCACGAAAGCGUGGGGAGCAAACAGG